UAGCAACCUCUGGUUACGCAAAGGAAAAUAAUGAGUAUAACAACAAACCGAAAAUUUUACCAAAGAAGCAAUGAAUUUGAUUGACCUUAUCGAAAACAAGCAAAUAAUCAUGUACCUGGUGCAGCACGACGUAACCAAUCUGUUAGGUCCGAUGCAUGUUAUCGUCCAAACUGUCGAUAAUCAAAAGUUCCCUGUAACAAGCAGUGAAAUGGCUGAAUAUGGUCAAAGGAUCUGAAAACGGUGAAGUGACCGAGCAAUCAUUUGUGCAAAAUCGACCAGCUACAGAAAGCUUUACUGAAGUGAAUCUAUAAGGGUCGAUUUCUUCACGCUCGCUUAACGCUUAAGCCUGGUUUAAACACACUGGUAAACCUACUUUAAACGUUAAGCGAGAGUGAAGAAAUCGGCCCUAAGUGAAAUAUCAUGCGACGAUAGCUGGGGAAUGGCGAUGUGCUCAAGUUACCCGCUGCUUCGUGAAUUGGAUAAAACAAACUGGCAAUCAAGAUACAAAAUCA